rnacentral:lncRNA from 1 species
AAUUACAGAAAACCCCCCUGUAAUAACCUGCUUUUUCACUUCCCCCCCUGACAUUUAAAAACCUACACUUUGCCCCCCUGUAAAAUAAAAAAUGUUCACAGGGGGGUUACGGUGUGUAAAAUGACUAUUUUGCCCCUCGCCAUUGUCAUCUUCUUCCCCAUCUUCCUCAGCCGCCCCUUCGUUCGGCCGUGAUUCCCACCUCAAUCGGCUGCGAUUUCUCUCCAUUUCCUUCACCACCUACUCUCCUUCUCCUCCUGCACCCUCGCCGCUCUCGAUUUCGGCGACAGUAGGAGAAAACCGAGGUGGGCGACAGUAGAAGAAGGGUAAAGAAGGCGAAGGCGAGGUGGCAGAGGACGGCGAAGGGGAAGUGGGUGAGGGCGAGGCAGUGGAGGACGGCGAGGCGGCUAGGCGGCGAGGCGGCGGCGACGUGGCGAGCCGGAGGAAGUCGAAGCAACAGGGNCUGUCAAAACCUGAUUUUUCACUUUCACCCCCUGUCAUUUAAAAACCUACACUUUGCCCCCUCAUAAAAUGAAAAAUGUUCAUAAGGGAGUACGGCGUGAACUGUGAUGAUAAAAUGACUAUU